rnacentral:lncRNA from 1 species
CACACACCUUUGGCUUGGAGUCAGGCAGCCAGAGUCCCAGAAGACAGUCUUUUCAGUAGAAAGCAGCAAGCUUUUAAAUUUUCACUGCACAUUGUUUUAUUAAAACUUCUGCAGCUGGUUAAAUGACUUUUCAGAGGAAACUUGUCCCAUUGCCGUGAACCAAAGGGGAGGGAUGAAGGUAAUUACGUUCUCCCCGUUCGACAGCAAAUGGUUCCCUGUACCUAUUUCAGGGGCCAGCUACCCAUGAGCAAACCUCCUGAGCUCUGACUGCUCUUCCCUUUUUACAGCAUCCUGAGCUACCUCAGGGCAGCUCUGAGGCAGCCUUGGGUAUGUGCCAUACACCCACCACGAAGAAGCCAGCCAGCCAAAUGGACCAAAGGUGCCACAGCCACUCUGAAAUGUGUGCGGAGGAGACCAGUACAUGAAAUCAGGGCCAGAGGAGAGGAAGUGCCGUCGGCCCGAGGGAGCAGGUCCCCGCUGAUCCCCGACGAGGGUGCUGUACUCCAGGAUAAGCGACCUGUGCCAUUCCUCACAAUGGCACCUGAGAUGCAGCCCUGACUCAGGACAAACUCCAGAGAGCAGAACCUCCCCUCCUGUUUCUUCUCGGUCAGCUCCUGAUGCACCAGCCUCUCUCCACUGACAGUGGAGGGACUGAGGGUCUUGAGUCAGUGCUCUGCACGAUUCUGCUAGGACAGUGUAACUACUGCCUUGGUACUGCACCCAAAGUACAGCUCUGAUGAAACCCUUCAACUUCACCCCAAAUUUCUAGACCACUUUGCAUUUGAUUUUCAAUCCAUGCUUUAGCCUGUUUCUGCCUCUUAUGUUUUUGAUUUUCCUAAAAGUCAUAUUUGCUCUCUUUGCAAGGCCAUUGCCAAAGAGCUAUUUGAUGCUGCUAAUACAGGGGGGCAAAAACAUUCCUCCCCCCCCCCAAAAAAAGAGAUUCCCACAUUCUUAAGGGCAGAAUAUCUCAUCUCUAAAACCUUAUCUGCCCAUGAACUGAAUAGCCUUGAAGAGUGUUAACCAUCUUAAUGUGGAAAUGCUUAUUUCUGGAAAGAAGAACUUGUCUUCAGAGGCACCUUCAUGCUAAUAUGAUGGAAACCAUAAGGGUGUGUGUGGUAUAAAUGAACCAGUAAGAAUAAAGCCUUACCUCGCUACA